UUGCUUCAGCAGCACAUAUACUAAAGUUGAAAUGAUACAGAGACGAUUGGCAAGGUCCCUGUGCCAGGAUGGCAUGCAAAAAAGUGAAGUGUUCCAUAUUAAA